UACGUAGGCAGCAGGCGUUGUUCGGAAUUACUGGGCGUAAAGAGUGUGUAGGUGGCGCCGUAAGUCGGGUGUGAAAUUUCGGAGCUUAACUCCGAAACUGCAUUCGAUACUGCGGUGCUUGAGGACUGGAGAGGAGACUGGAAUUCAUGGUGUAGCAGUGAAAUGCGUAGAGAUCAUGAGGAAGACCAGUGGCGAAGGCGGGUCUUUGGACAGUUCCUGACACUGAGACACGAAGGCCAGGGGAGCAAACGGG
rnacentral:rRNA from 1 species